rnacentral:tRNA from 1 species
CUCUCAGUAGCGUUGUGGUUAACGCUUAGGCCUAGUGAGGCGCGAGACGCGGUUUCGAACCCCGCCUGAGAUG